rnacentral:rRNA from 1 species
GGGUACACGAGCGGCGAACGGGUGAGUAACACGUGGGUAACCUGCCCUGUACUCUGGGAUAAGCCUUGGAAACGAGGUCUAAUACCGGAUACGACUCUUGAAGGCAUCUUUGAGGGUGGAAAGUUCCGGCGGUAUGGGAUGGACCCGCGGCCUAUCAGCUUGUUGGUGGGGUAAUGGCCUACCAAGGCGACGACGGGUAGCCGGCCUGAGAGGGUGACCGGCCACACUGGGACUGAGACACGGCCCAGACUCCUACGGGAGGCAGCAGUGGGGAAUAUUGCACAAUGGGCGAAAGCCUGAUGCAGCGACGCCGCGUGAGGGAUGACGGCCUUCGGGUUGUAGACCUCUUUCAGCAGGGACGAAGCGCAAGUGACGGUACCUGCAGAAGAAGCACCGGCUAACUACGUGCCAGCAGCCGCGGUAAUACGUAGGGUGCGAGCGUUGUCCGGAAUUAUUGGGCGUAAAGAGCUCGUAGGCGGUUUGUCGCGUCGGCCGUGAAAACUUGGGGCUUAACCCCGAGCCUGCGGUCGAUACGGGCAGACUUGAGUUCGGCAGGGGAGACUGGAAUUCCUGGUGUAGCGGUGAAAUGCGCAGAUAUCAGAGGAACACCGGUGGCGAAGGCGGGUCUCUGGGCCGAUACUGACGCUGAGGAGCGAAAGCGUGGGGAGCGAACAGGAUUAGAUACCCUGGUAGUCCACGCCGUAAACGGUGGGUGCUAGGUGUGGGGGACUUCCACGUUCUCCGUGCCGCAGCUAACGCAUUAAGCACCCCGCCUGGGGAGUACGGCCGCAAGGCUAAACUCAAAUGGAUUGACGGGG